rnacentral:rRNA from 1 species
UACGUAGGGGGCAAGCGUUGUCCGGAAUCAUUGGGCGUAAAGCGCGUGUAGGCGGCCAGGUAAGUCCGUUCUGAAAGCCCGGGGCUCAACCCCGGGAGGCGGAUGGAUACUGCUUGGCUCGAGUCCGGAAGAGGCGAGUGGAAUCCCGGUGUAGCGGUGAAAUGCGCAGAUAUCGGGAGGAACACCAAUAGCGAAGGCAGCUCGCUGGGACGGUACUGACGGCUGAGGCGGCGAAAGCGUGGGGAGCGAACAGGA